GUCACAUGGUAUACAUUGGCUGCCAGUGUAUAAAGAGCAAACUAGCACAGGCAGGUUUGAUGCAUGUAGUCAAUUGGAAAUUGCUUUAUCCACUGGAAGCCUCAAUGGUGCAAAGUGAGGUUAUCCACCACUAGAUGGGUGACAGGUGAAUGAUGCACAAUAAUGUUUCCCCUGUAUUCAGCAGUUGGGGUUGGUGUCCUGAGGAACACAUCUGGAAUACAACAGUCAGUUUUUUAUUUUAUUGUUCCUGUUGAAAUAAAACCUCCCUCC